rnacentral:misc_RNA from 1 species
GGAAAUUUCACUAUGUCUGUCCGACUGUAAAAGCCAUACAAAUUGGAGGCCUAACUUUGAGUAAAGCAAGUAGUGCUGAUGGAAGAAUCCAUAAUCCAUCACCACAAAUAAAUCCUGAAGCCACUGCAGGAACCAUCAAAUCUGCCUUCUUGCUGUUGAGUUUAUGCCAUACGUAUACGAUCAAACUCCCCGCAGCCAUAUCAAUUGCAAAGGAAGCCCCAACAAGGAAAGGCACAGCUAUAGCCAU